rnacentral:rRNA from 1 species
AUACAGAGGGUGCGAGCGUUAAUCGGAAUUACUGGGCGUAAAGCGCGCGUAGGCGGCUUGGUCAGUCGGAUGUGAAAGCCCCGGGCUCAACCUGGGAAUGGCAUUCGAUACUGCCAGGCUAGAGUAUGGGAGAGGGAAGUGGAAUUUCCGGUGUAGCGGUGAAAUGCGUAGAUAUCGGAAGGAACACCAGUGGCGAAGGCGACUUCCUGGCCCAAUACUGACGCUGAGGUGCGAAAGCGUGGGGAGCGAACAGGAUUAGAAACCCCGGUAGUCC